UUUAUAUGAGAGUUUGAUCCUGGCUCAGGAUGAACGCUGGCGGCGUGCCUAAUACAUGCAAGUCGAACGAGUUCUCGUUGAUGAUCGGUGCUUGCACYGAGAUUCAACAUGGAACGAGUGGCGGACGGGUGAGUAACACGUGGGUAACCUGCCCUUAAGUGGGGGAUAACAUUUGGAAACAGAUGCUAAUACCGCAUAGAUCCAAGAACCGCAUGGUUCUUGGCUGAAAGAUGGCGUAAGCUAUCGCUUUUGGAUGGACCCGCGGCGUAUUAGCUAGUUGGUGAGGUAAUGGCUCACCAAGGCGAUGAUACGUAGCCGAACUGAGAGGUUGAUCGGCCACAUUGGGACUGAGACACGGCCCAAACUCCUACGGGAGGCA
rnacentral:rRNA from 2 species